GGAAGUAAAAGUCGUAACAAGGUUUCCGUAGGUGAACCUGCGGAAGGAUCAUUAACAAAACAGGACCGUGCGUGUGCGCAGAGCACUCUGCGGAUGCGUGCGUGUCAUCAACCUUUGUGAAUCGGGCGGAGCAUCGCAAGGUGCUCUGCUUAGUCGGGGAAGCCGGAGUGCGAGCAGUGGCGCAAGCCGGAGCAGCACAACAUCUUGAUGUCUGAAUCUUUUGUCGAAAGACUAAAGCAAUGCAAUAGCAAUACAACUUUUAACAAUGGAUCUCUAGGCUCUUGCAACGAUGAAGAACGCAGUGAAUUGCGAUAAGUAAUGUGACUUGCAUUCAUUUGUGAAUCAUCGAAUCUUUGAACGCACCUUGCACUUGCAGAGUCUAUCUGCAAGUAUACCUGUUUGAGUAUCAUGCACAUUUAUCCAGCCAGCCUCGGUUGAUUGGGAGGUGAGCUUCAGCAGCGCGAGCUGUUGUUGCUUGAAAUGCAGCGAGAAGCGAGGACGACGCCGUCGUGCUCCGACGUGAGGAUAUUUGCGGUGCCUCGGCGCAGCAAAGCAAUCACAACGGACGCGUCGCACCGGCCGCAAAGCUUCUACUGGCGGCGCCGUGUAAGAGCGGCGCAGCCAAGCACUGUACCAAAUGUGAUCUCAAAUCAGGCAAGAAGACCCGCCGAACUUAAGCAUAUCAAUAAGCGGAGGA
rnacentral:rRNA from 1 species